rnacentral:rRNA from 1 species
UCUCCACCCGAGACUCAGUGAAAUUGAACUCGCUGUGAAGAUGCAGUGUACCCGCGGCAAGACGGAAAGACCCCGUGAACCUUUACUAUAGCUUGACACUGAACAUUGAGCCUUGAUGUGUAGGAUAGGUGGGAGGCUUUGAAGUGUGGACGCCAGUCUGCAUGGAGCCGACCUUGAAAUACCACCCUUUAAUGUUUGAUGUUCUAACGUGGACCCGUGAUCCGGGUUGCGGACAGUGUCUGGUGGGUAGUUUGACUGGGGCGGUCUCCUCCUAAAGAGUAACGGAGGAGCACGAAGGUUGGCUAAUCCUGGUCGGACAUCAGGAGGUUAGUGCAAUGGCAUAAGCCAGCUUGACUGCGAGCGUGACGGCGCGAGCAGGUGCGAAAGCAGGUCAUAGUGAUCCGGUGGUUCUGAAUGGAAGGGCCAUCGCUCAACGGAUAAAAGGUACUCCGGGGAUAACAGGCUGAUACCGCCCAAGAGUUCAUAUCGACGGCGGUGUUUGGCACCUCGAUGUCGGCUCAUCACAUCCUGGGGCUGAAGUAGGUCCCAAGGGUAUGGCUGUUCGCCAUUUAAAGUGGUACGCGAGCUGGGUUUAGAACGUCGUGAGACAGUUCGGUCCCUAUCUGCCGUGGGCGCUGGAGAACUGAGGGGGGCUGCUCCUAGUACGAGAGGACCGGAGUGGACGCAUCACUGGUGUUCGGGUUGUCAUGCCAAUGGCACUGCCCGGUAGCUAAAUGCGGAAGAGAUAAGUGCUGAAAGCAUCUAAGCACGAAACUUGCCCCGAGAUGAGUUCUCCCUGAGACUUAGAGUCUCCUGAAGGAACGUUGAAGACGACGACGUUGAUAGGCCGGGUGUGUAAGCGCAGCGAUGCGUUGAGCUAACCGGUACUAAUGAACCGUGAGGCUUAACCUUACA